CUGAAUACUUAUGUAACUAAAGUAUUUCUAUUUUUAUUUUUUAUAAAUGUGCAAUAAUUUCUAAAAACUAAAAACAUAACAAAAUGUGGAAAAAGUCCAGGGUUCUGAAUACUUACUGAAUGCACUGUAUAUCCUCCAAACACUGUGUUUUGAGGGCAUUAUCAUUUUAAUACGUGUUACCAACAUAUUGAAAUAAUGAUUUACAUAAAUGUUAUUUUGAUUCAUUUAUGCUACUUCAUCCUUCCACAAGAUAUACUCCCGCCACAAAUCCAGCUUUUUUCCUCAAGCCGGCUGGUCUUUCAUUCUAUCGGACUUGUGAGGCGUCUGUUUCUCAAACUACACACUCUAAUGUACUUGUCCUCUUGCUCAGUUGUGCACCGGGGCCUCCCUCUCCUCUUUGUAUGCUGGUUAGAGACAGUUUGCGCUGUUCUGUGAAGGGAGUACUACACAGCGCAGUACGAGAUCUUCAGUUUCUUGGCAAUUUCUCGCAUGGGAUAGCCUUCAUUUCUCAGAACAAGAAUAGACUGACUAGUUUCAGAAGAAAGGUCUUUGUUUCUGGCCAUUUUGAGCCUGUUAUCGAACCCACAAAUGCUGAUGCUCCAAAUACCAACUAGUCUAAAGAAGGCCCAUUUGCUGUUUCCAGCUACAAUAGUCAUUUACAACAUUAACAAUGUCUACACUGUAUUUCUUAUCAAUUUAAUGUUAUUUUAAAUGGACAAAAAAAUGUGAUUUUCUUUAAAAAGCAAGGACAUUUCUAAGUGACCCCAAACUUUUGAACGGUAGUGUACAUACGGUGCAUUCAGAAAGUUCAGACCCCUUCCCUUUUCCACAUUUUGUUCUGUUACAACGUUUCUUCAUCAAUCUAUACACAAUACCCCAUGUGAAGAUAAAACGAAAACAGGUUUUUAGAAAUGUUUGCAAAUUCAUAAAAAAGAAACAGAAAUACCUUAUUUACAUAAGUAUUCAGACCCUUUGCUAUGAGACUCAAUUCAGCUUAGGCGCAUCCUGUUUCCAUUGAUCAUCCUUGAGCUGUUUCUGAAACUUGAUUGGAGUUAACCUGUGGUAAAUUCAAUUGAUUGGACAUUAUUUUGAAAGGCACACACCUGUCAAUGUAAGGCCCCACCUUUGACAGUGCAUGUCUGUGCAAAACCCAAGCCACGGGGUUGAAGGAAUUGUCCGUAGAGCUCCAAGACAAGCUUGUGUUGAGGCACAGAUCUGGGAAAGGGUAACAAUAUGUUUUUGCAGCAAUGAAGGUCCCCAAGAACUCAGUGGCCUCAUUCAUUCUUAAAUGGAGGAGGUAUGGAACCACUAUGAUUCUUCCUAGAGCUGGCCAACCGGCCAAACUGAGCAAUCGGGGGAGAAGGGCCUUGGUCAGGGAAGUGAGCAAGAACUCGAUGGUCACUCUGACAGAGCUCCAGAGUCGCUCUGUGGAGAUGGGAGAACGUUCCAGAAGGGCAACCAUCUCUGAAGCACUCCAACAAUCAGGCAUUUAUGGUAGAGUGGCCAGACGGAAGCCACUCCUUAGUAAACAUGACAGCAUGUUUGGAGUUUGCCAAAAGGCACCUAAAGGACUCUGACCAUAAGAAACAAGAUUGUUUCUGAUGAAACCAAGAUUGAACUCUUUGGCCUGAAUGCCAAGAGUCACGUCUGGAGGAAACCUGACACCAUCCCUAUGGUGAAGCAUGGUGGUGGUAGCAUCAUGCUGUAGGGAUGAUUUUCAGUGGCAGGGGCUGGGAGACAAGUCAGGAUCAAAGGAAAAAUGAACAGAGCAAAGUACAGAGAGAACCUUGACAAAAACCUGCUCCAGAGUGCUCAGGAUCUCAGACUGGGGCGAAGGUUCACCUUCCAACAGGACAACGAUCCUCAAGUCUCUAAAUGUUCUUGAGUGGCCCAGCCAGAGCCCCAACAUGAACCCGGUCGAACAUCUCUGGAGAGACCUGAGAAUAGCUGUGCAGCGACGCUCCCCAUCCAACCUGACAGAGCUUGAGAGGAUAUGCACAGGAGAAUCGGAGAAACUCCCCAAAUACAGGUGUACCAAGCUUUAUUAUUAUUAUUAUUAUUAUUAUUAUUUCACCUUUAUUUAACCAGGUAGGCCAGUUGACAACAAGUUCUCAUUUACAACUGCGACCUGGCCAAGAUAGUGUCAUACCCAAGAAGACUCAAUACUGUAAUCGCUGCAAGUAUUGAGGAAAGGGUCAGAAUACUUAUGGACAUGUGAUAUUUCAGUUUUAGUUUUAAUACAUUUACAACAUUUCUAAAAACCUGAUUUUGCUUUGUCACUAUGGGGUAUUGUGUAUAGAUUGAGAGAAAAAAACUUUUUAAUCCAUUUUAGAAUAUGUCUAACGUAACCAAGUGUAGAAAAAGUCUAGUGGUCUGAAUACUUUCAGAAUGCACUGUAUUGCUUAGUAUGUUUAGGUUUACAAGAAACCUCUCUUGCUGAUGUAAGAAGUUGGAGAAAGGAUCUGGCAGAAUCUCUGAAAACAGCAGACAUUGGCCUUACGUGUGAAUAAACCUGCAUAGAAAACUUUAACGAGUUUCAGUUUGGACAGUAGAAACAGUUAUUUUUUGGGGGCCGAGGCUGAAUUUAUUUUGAAAAUGUACCUAGAUAGCCACUACAGGCGCAUAUUUUGGUCCGCUAAUACAGGACUAGUAAAGGCCGAGUGAAUAUUUUGGGGUUAUUCCAAUUUUUUCAAAGGGUGCUUGCAGCACCCUCAGCACCCCUACUUCCCGCGGCUAUGUUUGGGACCUUUAGCUGUUGGGAGGAAAUAUCCAUAAAUGUCGGGAUCCACAGCCACACUGUUUUUUACAUUGCAUGUUUUUAUUUCACAUCAUGCUUUCAAUAAUCUCACCAGAAAAAAACAUAACUAGCCAACAUUAACACUUUGAUGAAAUCAAUUAAUUUUAAGUUAGCACUGUAGGAUCAAUAUAUGUUUGUUCUUUACCUUCUGGAACACAACUUGAAACUUCAGGAGGAGGAACCGAAGUGGUGGACCUGGUUUCAAGGACAGAAAAGUAAUUUCUACAUUUGUGGCUUAAUUCAUAUUAUUUUUUUCCACCUUUGCCAAACCAUUCUCCAAUAACCCUCUAAGGAUCGGAUAUUUUUUAUAACAUUUUCGCAUAAAAUGACAUACCCAAAUCUAAGUGCCUUUAGCUCAGGACCUGAAGCAAGGAUAUGCAUAUUCUUGAUACAAUUUGGAAGGAAAUACUUUGAAGUUUGUGGAAAUGUAAAAUGAAUGUAGGAUAAUAUAACACAUUGUAUUAUCUUUUACCAGAUCUAAAGAAAAAACAGCUCCCAUCUUUGAAAUGCAAGAGAGAGGCCAUGAUGUAUUAUUCCAGCCCAGGCACAAUUUAGAUUUUUGCCACUGGAUGGCAGCAGUGUAUGUGCAAAGUGUUAGACAGAUCCAAUGAACAUCUGUUCAAAUUGUUGUAUCACGACUGCCCGUCGUUCAUAAUUGUGCACACUCCUCAAACAAUAGCAUGGUAUUAUUUCACUGUAAAUUAUACAGUGCAGUUAGAUUAACAAGAACUUAAGCUUUCUGCCCCUAUCAGAUAUGUCUAUGUCGUGGGGCAUUUUUUGUUACAACCUCAUGUUAAUCACACGUUAGCUCAACCAUCCCGGGGUUACAACCUCAUGCUAAUCACAUUAGCCUACGUUAGUUUAACCAUCCCGUGGGGGACCAAUCCCAUAGAAGUUAAGAACAAUUUAUUUUACAAUGACAGCCUACCCCGGACAAACCCUCGUUUAAUCCGGACGAUGCUGGGCCAGAGGGUCAAGCAAUGGCGACAAGGUUGUCAAGGCAUAUUUUGAAACUUAAUAACAAAAUCGGGGCAUCAAUAAAACUGAAUAACCUGAAUAGGCGUGCCAUACCAUUCUCCAAUGUCCCUCAACUGCUGACUUUCAUGGUGACAAUAAAUCUUGAAGGUGAUGUCUGGAGAGUUUCUGUUUAACCUCAAACAAAAACGAGCUUUUCUUGCUAUGAGAAAGCUUGAAUGUAGACCUUACCACAUUGUUCAUUAAUGUUUAUUUAAAUAUUCAGACUGUUCUUGCUUGUCUUUGUCCUGGAAUUUUUGGAUUUCUUUAUACUGUAAUUGUAAAUAACAUUUAUCAAAUGAAUGUUGUUAUCACUCUCUCCUUGGUGAGGAUCACAGGACAACAGAUAGCCCAGACCCCCUCUCUCCCAUACCCCUUCUCUCCCAUAAACGGAUUGAGUUCAACAGAGAGACAAAGACAUCCACACCUAAAUAUAUACAUUGCAAAUAUUUUCCAAUGAGCAGUCGUUCAUGUGCAAAGUAUGCAUAUUCCCAUGAGCAUAGCUUUCCAUGUAUGUACGAUAAGUCCACUUUCUCUCCCGCUCUUUUUCUUUCCCCACCCCCUUUCCAUUGUGCAACAAGCCGUCAUAUCGGGUUAGUCCACUAGGGAAUUUUCAUUGCAUUAUGUUAGUAAUCAAUAUAACCUAUACCACGUGUUUGUAAUUGUGUGAUUUAGUUAGUAAAUAAACAA
ensembl:lncRNA